GUCCACGCCCUAAACGAUGUCAACUGGUUGUUGGGGGAGUGAAAUCCCUUAGUAACGAAGCUAACGCGUGAAGUUGACCGCCUGGGGAGUACGGUCGCAAGAUUAAAAACUCAAAGGAAUUGACGGGGACCCGCACAAGCGGUGGAUGAUGUGGAUUAAUUCGAUGCAACGCGAAAAACCUUACCUACCCUUGACAUGUCCAGAAUCCUGCAGAGAUGCGGGAGUGCCCGAAAGGGAAUUGGAACACAGGUGCUGCAUGGCUGUCGU
rnacentral:rRNA from 1 species